AAAGUUCUCACCUUCUCCACUUUCUCUUUCACGUCAGUCUUUCUCCCUCUUUCAGAAAAGAAAAAUUUGAGAUUCUGAUUUUUUUUCUUUUUUUAUUGGGGUUUCAAUACAUUUGUAAACCGCUGCCUUAAAAUCCUGGUGGCUUUGUUUGUUUGGAUGUCGAAUCGGUUAAGUGUAGGGAUCGUUUUGUAUGUAGGUUUAUGCGGUUAAUUCUUGAUAAUUUGAUACAAGGUUUAGGUCGAAAUUGUUUAUAGCUUUAGCAUGUUUGCGGAAUUGAGUUUUAGGUCAUAAAGUAAAGGUGAAGUGGUCAGUUCUUGAUGCUUGUAAUCCCGAUUUAAGGUGUGUUUUUGAAACUAUUUAUUUCGUUAGCGAUUUGCCAUUGGAUUUUGAGGAAAUCCGUAAUUUUUGGUGUAGUUUUGAAUUAUAUUGAUUGGGGGUCGAUUUAAUGAUCAAAAUUCAUGAUUUCAGCCUGUUUCGGUGUGGUUUCGUGACCACACUGGUGGCCACAGGGGUGUGCACCGUACACGAGCAGCUUACACAGCCGUGUGACAUUGGGAAUUAGAGUUUUUGGGCGAUUUUUGGUGCCACAUGGCCGCGUGGCUACGACUUGGGGAUUUUUUCGAUUUUCACACGGGUGUGUGCCUUGGACACACAGUCGUGUCCCAUAGCCACAUGGUCGUGUGAGGUUCCUGUACGGCUGUGUCUGUCCUGCACCUUAUUUUGACAAUUUUGGACAGUGAGUUACACGGGCUACUCAUACUGCCAUGUAACUCAGUCACAUGGGCGUAUGUCUCCUCCACACAGGCGUGUGUAGCUUGCACAUGGGCGUGUAGGUCUCCACACGACCUAGGCACUUCCACACGGCCGUGUGGCCCUAUUUUUGCAUUUUUGCACCCUUUUCGCAAAGUGGUUUGUUUUUAGUUUCUGAUCGAUUUCUUAGAGGCUAAAAGCGUUGUAGGAGUGUGUAGGACUAUAUUUGUGGUCGAACUUGUUAUGAUUUGUUUUUGUUGGAUUAAAUUUUUGUGACAUUUGAGAUAUCGUGAUUAGCGUGUUCUGCUAUGACAUUGAUUCUGUUACUUUGAAUAAGAGUUUUUCUGUAUGGUUUAACCAUUCACAUAACAUUGACUGUAUCUACGAUUUGCAUAAGUGUUGAAAUGAAGUAUUUGUUAGUUAAAUAAGCCUAUCUGUUCUUGUAAAUUGUUGCAUCUGUAUUUGGAUUUGAGAUGUUACCUAGUAGUUGAACAUGGGUAUAACUGAUUCUGAAAUUAAUCAUCCGAAUAUGUGUAAUCUAUUUCCGUAUGAUUGUCUGCAAGUACUGUGCAUUUUGUAGUUGCAUGAAAAUUCUGGGAUUUUUGUUGUGAAGAGAAAGAAGUCAUUUUGGGCAGUUUAAUUGCAUUAUUUCUGUACAGUAGUUUAUUGCACUUUACUAUACAUUUGCUAGCUCAGUUGCAUAUUGUUUUUUCAGUGGCAUAGUUUCACAUUGUGGUGUGUAGGAUGGAUGAGUCUAUUAUGGUUCUAUGUGGUGUGCAGGGUGGACAGGCCUUCGGUAGCCCUUAUAAGGUGUGCAGGGUGGAUGAGGCGGUGUUUGAUUGGAGGGGUGGGAUUUUUACUUGUUGCAUUCAUUUCGCAUCAGAGUAUAUGUUUGUUUGUGUGAACAUUUGGUUAAUGUGUUAUGAUGUUCUCCGAUUAUUACUUGUGGAUUGGAUAUCGUUUUCGUGGAUUUGGCAUUCAUUGCAGUAAUCAUAUAGUUGAAUUUUCGUAUGGAUAAAAAGUGUUGGAAUAUCAUGGUUGCUUAUGACUAUGUAAUUUUUGAAUUGUUUGCGAACUUAAUAGUAAGUUGAUGUGUUUUCGUACAUCUGCACGUUGGUGGUAAUGUAAAAUUUCCUUGAUUAGUUUAUGUAAUAUGUUUGUGUUUUUGAUUAUUGGAUCUGGAUUGUCAUUAUUGGACCGUGUGCCCUUAUCGGAAGUAUUGCUUUUGAAAUUCUGUCUUUUACCUUCUGUGAUGUUUUGGUUUCACACUGAACUCCUGUAGCUCAUCCUUUAGUUUCCUCUCUUUCAAGUAUUACGUGAGACUAAGCUACGAACUAGGUACAUCGGAGGUCUCAGAAAGUUUGGUUUGAACCGGUUUAGUUAAAAUUUUCACGAGUUUUAUACAGUUGGUUUUGAGUUUAAUUAAUUGUAAAGCGAUUAUAUAACUGUGGUAUGAGUUUUGGUUUGGACUUUUUGUCAAAUUAAGUGAUUUCGGUUUGAACAUAAUUUUUUUUGGAAAUCUCGCGCACGGUUUUUAAUUGGGUUUCUUCUAUUCAUUAUACCUCCUACUUAUUUGAGAAAAUCACACAUUUUUCGUACAGUAUUUAAUAUCAAAAUUUCGUGUUACAAUUUACCUAAAGUGAUGCAUUUUGAAACUAUACAAGAAUCACCGUUUUAAAGUGAAAAUUGUUAAUAGACUUAAUUUGUUUUUAGCGUAUUGUAUUUGAAAUGAGUUUUAAAAAUUGUUGAUUGUAAAUUGCUUUUCGAUCACUUCGGUGGUCAAUGUAGCCUCCUAAAUUUGGUUUAAACUUCUAGGCCGAGUUUUGGGGUGCUACAAUUUUCAAGCUUUUCAUAUCUCACUUAGCAACAAUAAUUCUAAGCCUAUGAAUAGAGUUAUUUCUAGCUCUAGCUAUGAGUUUGAAGGUGUUUUGGGUACACACGGCCUGUGACAUGGUCUGUCACACGACCAUGUGCCCCGCACGAUUGUGUGACACAGUCUAUAACACGACUGUGUGCUUUGUUUAAUUUUUCGUGAUUUUAGGUCCACACGGAACCAUUUGGUUACAUGGUCUGGAGAUAUGGCUAUGUGUCUCCUCCUACACGGCCCAAGCUCUACUACACGGUUUGGUCACACGACCAUGUCCCUACACCACACAGUCUCUGCCUUCCCACACGGCUUGGCCACACGGUCGUGUGACCCAUGUUUUCACUUUUUACCUAUAUUUUUGUAAAAGUUUCAAUUUAAUCCAGAAUUUCUCUUGGUUUGUUUUAAAUGUUCCGUAAGCUCGAAUUAGGUCUCGAUAUAAUUGAAUAGCAUGGAAAUGGUCUUUUUUUCUAUUUUUGAUUGAUUGGUGAACAGUGUUAACUUUUAUAGUAGUAAUAUCCUAUAACUCGAGUCUAGCGACUGGAUCGGGGGUAUGGGGUGUUACACUGUGAGUUAGAGGGAGACUUAUUUUGUUAUUGUUGGCUUUUUUUUUAAUCAUUAGCUAAAAUGUGUUUUUUUCUUCAAAAUGUCAAAAGGGGAGAUUGUUGAACUUUAACUAUCUAUGUUUCAGUUAGUACAUGCCAGGUUAGAACAUCACUUGAUUUUAUUUAUGCAGGUUAUUUAUUUUUAUCCCUUUGUAGAAUUUGAAGAGAAAUGAAGUAUUUUUUUUAAUGGGAAGAAAAUUUUUUGCUUCUUCUUUAAAGUCUUUUCACUUAGUAUUACUUGGAGCCAACAAUGAUUUGAAUUUGCCUGGAGUUUUAAGGCUUUGUUUCGAAAGUAAAAAUGGAUAUUUUGUGUGGACAAUUCUUUUAUUUUAUAUGUUUAUUUAUCUCCCUG
rnacentral:lncRNA from 1 species